rnacentral:rRNA from 1 species
CAGCCGCGAUAAUACGGAGGGUGCAAGCGUUGUUCGGAUUGACUGGGCGUAAAGGGCGUGUAGGCGGUUGGCCAAGUCUGAUGUGAAAGCCCGGGGCUCAGCUCCGGAAGUGCAUCGGAAACUAGCCAGCUGGAGCGCGAUAGAGGAGGGCGGAAUUCCUGGUGUAGCGGUGAAAUGCGUAGAUAUCAGGAGGAACACCGGCGGCGAAGGCGGCCCUCUGGAUCGUUGCUGACGCUGAGACGCGAAAGCGUGGGGAGCAAACAGGAUUAGAUACCCUGGUAGUCCACGCUGUAAACUAUGGGUACUAGGUGUUCGGGGUAUUGACCCCCUGAGUGCCGCAGCUAACGCAUUAA